rnacentral:rRNA from 1 species
GACGUAGGGCGCGAGCGUUGUCCGGAUUUAUUGGGCGUAAAGAGCUCGUAGGCGGUUUGUCGCGUCGUUCGUGAAAACCCACGGCUUAACUGUGGGCUUGCGGUCGAUACGGGCAGGCUAGAGUUCGGUAGGGGAGACUGGAAUUCCUGGUGUAGCGGUGAAAUGCGCAGAUAUCAGGAGGAACACCGGUGGCGAAGGCGGGUCUCUGGGCCGAUACUGACGCUGAGGAGCGAAAGCGUGGGGAGCGAACAGG